AAGCGGGGUACAAAAGCUUUUACUAUGAACUUGGCUCAAAUAUACAUUUAUGUUACACAGAUUUGAAAUUACAAAAUUAUGAAAAUCGAAACCAAAGCCUAGGGUUAGAACUAAAGAAUGAAAGGAAAUCCCCACUAAACUAACAAAGCACAGGCAAAGUAGCUACAGUGCAAAGAAUGGCACUAAGUUGGGGUGCUAAUCUACAUUUGGAUAUACCUAAUAAUGCCUUGAAAACAUAUACAGAAGGGCGAGCAGACAAAAUAUUCCCACCCAAAGCACAUAGCAAAAACAAUUAUUGCAAAACUCAAGCCAAUUACAAACUUACAAUGAAUUGGAAGGUGUUGCACUAGCAGACAAAGCCUCAGAAUGAAGUGGAGAUUGAAUUGAAGUAUCCAAAUCUCCCUGAAAUUCAAGUAAAGGUCUUAGUCUUCUCUCAACCUCACUGCUUUGUUGACUAAUUUCUUCGAGAAUCAUAGACAAAGCUAUCUUGCAAGAUUCCUCAUUCCUGAAUGCUAAGGUCCAUCUCCCAUCAACCAAAGCUUUUCUGUUCAUCUUUCUAGAGGUAACUGAUUUAGCAGGAUCAACAAAGGGUAGAGAGGAUGGACGGAUGCACAAGUGUAACCAUCUAGAAUGCUUGUCAUCAAUUCUAGGCUUGCAACCAGCCAAAGGAGCGAUAAUACGGACAACUCCAUGAUGCUGCUUCAGAGGUAGUUCUUCAAUCAGUAGGAUCCACCCAGAUGUGCCCAUAGAGACUGCUAGAAAGCAAAAAUGGCGUUCUUUACCCCUCUCAAAUGCAAUCCUACAAGGCACGGCAUCAACUGCAUAUGGCAAUGACCAGAGAGAUUUGAAAUAUUUGAUCACAUGAUUGCAGCAACAUUAUCUCUAAGAAAAUAAAAUCAUAUUCUAGGAGGAAAAAACAUUCUCUAAAAAAAUAAAUCCACAUUCUAAAAGGUUGGAAGUAAUAAGACAUAAUGGUGGAAAAUUCACCUAGCCUAUGGUCGUCCUAAAUGAAAAACACGUAAGUUUAUGCCAACAGGUACAUAUAUUAUCAUCAUCAUCACCAUAAGGUGUAUUAAAAGCCAGAUGGAGAGCUAACCAAGUCUCAAUUCAACACCAGGUUUUGGGCCCAAAACAUCCAGGCCAGCAGUUCUUGCACGGGAAUUUUCAGCGAGAUCAGUUGGAAGAUAUAUAGGUGGCUGCUCAGGCAAAGCCCUACCAAGUGAGAAAAUUUGAAGUUGAAGAAGAAGCACGCACACCUUCACUAACUCGCACAUUCUUUCACCAGCAAAUAUUGAUGAUUCACUAGGAAUAGAAUCAUCAUAAGAAGACUUCUGUAAUGGCAUUAGUAUGCAUUUUGGCUCUUUCCGGGGAGAUGAAGCUUCAACAGCUCUUUUGCACUUUUUCCAUUCAUCACAUAGGACUGUCUCCAGUAGAUCAGGCCAGGAACCUCUGGUCUCCUCUAAAAGAGCACCAGUGCAAUUCUUGUAUGAAUCCUUUAGCAGUUUCAGAUGGUGGUUAUUGAACUCUGCCUCACUAUAAGGAAGUAGCUGACGCAAAAGCCAACCACCAUCCCACAAUGUCUCCGCAGAUAUAUCUGACCGGCAAAAGAGACUGACCAAUGCUUCAAGAACCUGAAAUCUAUGUACACGAGGGCUUGUUCCCACCUCUGGGAAAUAGCAAACUACUCCAAACUGCUCCUUCAACUUUUGUAGAUAUACAUCAAGAUCACUGCUAAAACUAUCUCUAAUAGAACCAAAUUCCGAAGCAAAAAGUUGAUCUUCACCUGAGCCCUCACCAACCAAUGCUUGCAGCAACAGUUUCUUAUGCUGCUUGCGUUGAGGCAGAAUACCAAGCGCAUCUAGCAUGGUUUCGUCUAACUCUUUUGUUUGCAAUAGUGUAGCCAGCACACUCAAGGAACCCAGAACUUGUAGAUCAUUGCCAUUUGUAAUGUACGAAAGUAAGACAUCCCUCAAAGGCCCAUGUGAGCUAACAAAGUCAUUUUGUGUGGCACCUUCAGGAUGAACUUGCGAUGAACCAGCCAAGGCUGGCAAAGACGCUAUUGGACAAGCAUCAACCUCAGUGACAUUCUCUCUUUCCGACUGUUGGAUUUCAUUCAUAUAACUAUGACCAGACACAUGACCAUUAAGCUUAGCUUCAGAUUUUGGAAUGAAGACCUCUGCGGGACAGAAGAGGGCAGCAGCAAUGGUAUUUGCCAAAUCUUUUAUCUUAACGAUUCGUAAGAUGCAACAAAGUAGAUAGAGAGAAGUGAUAGCACCAAUCUGUUCAUUAACAACAUCCAGCCGUAAAGAUGGAAGAAGAAAUGGAAUUAUCAAAAAUUGCAACAUCUUGUCCGUUAUUAACCUUCCAACAUCAGGAAUCCCAGCAGAAAUAACAUCACUAAAAUAGUAGAGGUUGUCCUCAAUUUCAUCCACAGCAACAAGGAUCAUGGUGGUUCCAUCUGGCUCAGAGUUUUUUAGAACUUUAGAGACCAAUGCAUUCAGAUCAAUGCACUGCUUCAGAAAAAAUGUAACCAGAUUUGAAAAAUAAUCAGCAUGAGGAGACUUGGCAACGAAUCUAUUCACAGAUUCAUCUCCAACAUGAUAAACAUUUAACGUCAAAGCACGUACAGCAGUGCGAAUCAUAUUUUCUUCAUGAAAAGCAAACCGUGUUGCCUCAACAUACAGUGGAAAAGAGACUACUACUUCAUUAUGAGUCUUUACAAGCAGAGAAAUAGUGUUCCGAUUCAGCUUUCCACUUAUUGCCCUUAAGAAUGAAAUGUAGUAAGACAAUAGCUCUUCAUUGUGAAAAUCAAAUGUAUAAGUAAUUAAGAAGUUAAUGUGUUCGUUACUGAACAUGUAGUAUAUGGCAUGUUCACUUUUAAGAUUCUGAAUCAUAAUGCUGAUUGUCUGUAGCAAUUGAAGAGAAACAGUCACUGAUCUGCUGAUCUUUAAAAUUCGUACAAACUCCCCCAUGACUUGCUUCUCCAUAAAAUAUUCAAAAUAGUUUGAAUCAUGCUGAUCACCAUAAGUUAUCAACUCUGCCAUUGACCUCAGUGCCUCAAUCACAAAAUCCUUAUUAACCUCAUUUACAAUUUGAACUUUCUGGAGCUGAUCAGUUAAAUAUCUGAGUUCAUCCAAGGAGAAUCGAUCUCUGGAUCUCCAAAAGGAAAGCCACAUGAUUGUGGAAUCAGAGCUUAAAUAAAAAAUAAUAAUAAUAAUAAGUUCGUCGGAAUUCAAUCACGGCAUCGAUUACAAUUCAUUUUCCGACUCCGAGUGAACUCAAAUCAGACCAAACACAGCAUCCGAUGGAAACCACCUGCCGGCACUCCGAUCCAAAACAAAUUUCACUAAAAGACGAAGAUGAUUAGCGGGUUUGUUUAAUUUUUUUUUUUUUUGGUUUUUGUAAUCUUUGCAUAAGAGUAGUGGCUAGAAUUAUUAUGAUCAAAAUUUCCGGAGAGAAUUUGCCAGAAAAGCAAGGGAAGCUGUAAUGGAGUUGAGGUCGAGCUGGCAAUUAUACGGGGAGUAGGCUUUCACGGUUCCUACUUUGUUCCCGAGCCAGUUACUAUUGAGGCCACUUUUGCCAGGGGCGUGCACGUUUU
rnacentral:misc_RNA from 1 species